CCUACGGGAGGCAGCAGUGGGGGAUAUUGCACAAUGGGGGAAACCCUGAUGCAGCGACGCCGCGUGAGUGAAGAAGUAUUUCGGUAUGUAAAGCUCUAUCAGCAGGGAAGAAAAUGACAGUACCUGACCAAGAAGCCCCGGCUAACUACGUGCCAGCAGCCGCGGUAAUACGUAGGGGGCAAGCGUUAUCCGGAUUUACUGGGUGUAAAGGGAGCGUAGACGGUUAUGUAAGUCUGGAGUGAAAGCCCGGGGCCCAACCCCGGGACUGCUUUGGAAACUGUAUGGCUGGAGUGCAGGAGAGGUAAGUGGAAUUCCUAGUGUAGCGGUGAAAUGCGUAGAUAUUAGGAGGAACACCAGUGGCGAAGGCGGCUUACUGGACUGUAACUGACGUUGAGGCUCGAAAGCGUGGGGAGCAAACAGGAUUAGAUACCCUUGUAGUC
rnacentral:rRNA from 1 species